GCUGAAGACCGCAGCAACGAAUGCACGCCUCUUGACUUAAGCAUGAAGGACAAAACAACACCAAGUACAAGGCGUGACGGUACCCAGGAGGCUUCAUCUACUUUGGGCGCAUACACAACGUGAGCUUCGCCACUUGAUUUCUGAUGACACCUUGCAGCGCAUGCCGAUGACCGACGAGACUUGCAACGUCGACGAUGCCGACACAGAUUCUGACAAUGGCAGCACAAGUUGCCUUCCCCUGGGGCCCACCAGGAACAUCGAUAAC